rnacentral:tRNA from 1 species
GGAGGGCUGGCCGAGUGGUUGAAGGCGGCGGUCUUGAAAACCGCUAGGGAGGUACCCACUCCUUCCUCAUGGGUUCGAAUCCCAUGCCCUCCGCCC